CUUUUUUUUUUUUUUUUUUUUUUUGGCUGUUUUGUUUUCAUUUUGAACCUUUAGAAAUUCCAUCUGCUAUAUUAGUCAGAAAGUCCUUACAGUUGUUAUGGUAGAAACCCUUUGGCAAUGACCAUAUGUGGACGUAAUAAUUUUGUUGGAAGGAUUUUGGGGAAAUUGGAAAUUGUCAUUGGUGACAUGUGAUUGCAUUCCAGCUUUUUUUUCUUCCUUUUUUCCUUUCUUUCUUCUUUCUUUUUUUUUUAAAGGGCCUCAUAUACCCCAGAUGGAAGUUCCCAGGCUAGGGGUCAGAUCAGAGCUGCAACUGUUGGCUUAUGCCACAGCCACAGCAAUGCAGGAUCUGAGCUACAUCUGUGACUUACACCACAGCUCAUGGCAAUGCUGGACUCUUAACGCACUGAGCAAAGUCAAGGAUCAAACCCACAUCCUCAUGGAUAGUAGUCGGGUUCAUUUUACCACUGAGCCACAGCAAAAAUUCUUGUGCUUUGGCUUUUAAUGAAUCUUUUUCUCUGUAUCACAUUGGUUACCAGUAAGAGGUCAUAGAACCUCAGGAUGCCCUUUCUGGUAACCAAAAGAAAUCCAUAAUGUGUAUUCUGGGCCAAGUUUUAUCCCCCCAAAGUUCAUGUGCUAAAAUCCUAACCCCCAGUACUUGGGAUGUGAUUGUGUUUGGAAAUAAAGUCUUUCCAGAGGUAACUAAAUUUAAAAUGAAGUCGCUGAGGUGGGCCUUGAUUCAAUAUUACUGAUGUCCUUAUAAGAAGAGAUUAGGACACAGACACACUCAAGGUGAAGAUCAUGUGAAGACUGAGAAUGCAGCCACCUGCAAGCGAAGGAGAGAGGCCCUGGAAGAAACCAGACAUGCUGACACCUUAGAUUCCCAGUUUCCAGAACUGCAGGAAAUAGAUUUCUCUUAAAGUCUCCCAGUCUCUGCUGCUUUGUUACAGCAGCCCUAGAAAACUGUUACAGUGCAAUUCCCUCCUUGCCCCAGAAAUUUUUUUAGACGGGGACUUGGGGAGCAGAGAUGCUGGCAACAGCAAUGUUGAGGAGGAGGAGAAUGAUCAUUGGGUGCAUGCAUUAGCUGUGGAGGAGGAGGAGAGAGAAUCAGGGACUGGCAGGACUAGGGAAUUAUUUUAUUGAGAGAGUAGAGCAUUGUGUUCUGGAGAUCGCCUGAGUGUUAACAGAUGAAAACAAAUACAGGCUGGGCUUCGUGACAUGGGAAAUUUGCCUACUACUAAAGGGCUUUGGGGGAUUUCUUAGGGAAUAGGAAGAGAGGUGUGGUGAUGAUGUACAGUGAAGUCCUUAGUUUUGUACAACUGUUCAGUAUAUAUCCUGUUUAAGAAAUAUUUAUUGAGCCUUACCAUGUGUUAGGUCCUGACCCUAAGGUUAGACUUAUUAGAUGAGAUUCGUAUCUAUCUUCGAGGGUCACCAAGACAAAUAAGGAGUUUACAUUAUACUGAUUCAUUGUUGCCCAGCAAUAAUGAUGAUUAUAAUAACUUUUAAAUAUUAUUAUUAUAGGAAAUGUGUGUUGAACACUCAUUAUGUUCUAGGCAUUAUGCUACAUGCCUGUUACACAGAUUUGAAAAGGCUGCCUAACGUGCAACUUAAGCAGCUUGAUCAGGUCAGCUACCCAAGGGGGAGCCAGAAUUUAAAUCUAUAUCAAGCCAAUGCUGUAGAAGGCAAGGCAAUACUAACCAGCACACUUAGAAUUACUAGAGCAUGAAUCCCUCCGAUGGUGUGAAACAGAUUUGAAAAUCGGGAGCUAAUGUCAGCCACUGGAGGAGAAUAUCCAAACUGGCAUCUGUGAAAUGUUACCUUAUGUCCUCUCUGUUCUCUGUGUCUGUCAUCGUCAAGGAACUCUUUCCUGCACAGUUAAUAGCCAUUUAUAGACUGUGAGUCCAUGGUAAAGCCACUUCAUUCCUGACAUCAUCACAAGGUAAGUGCCAGAUGAUGAGUGGGUUCUUUUGAGCCUGGCACUGUGUCGGACAGUGCAUUUUUCUGUUUCCAUUUGCAUUUCUGUCCUCUUUCUAUAUUUUCCUAGAUGAUCAGAUAUUGUUAAUCGACACAGCAGGAUAAGUAUAUGAUAGCAUCUAAUGGCAUUCCAGUUUAUCAAUUUAUAGUGAAAAAUAGAAUCUAUGCAAACUACAAAACCUUUAUCAGCCUGACCAUCACACCGUGUCCCUGGAGGCUUUGGAAGCUGGAUUAUAAUCAAAGGGUUGCAUGGAAUCAGAACAAAGAGACUUAGAUAAAUUGCAUAUUUAAUGGUGUCAGGUUCAGACAUCCUCUUUCAUCCCAUCUUCUCCAGAGGAAUGGGCUUGCCAGUGCGAGUGGAGUACCCAAAGUCUGCAAUAUUCUAGACUGAUUCCAUAGAACUUAAAGUGACUCUUAGAUCUUCCUUGAGAAAUGUAGACAAUAAUGACAAUUUUUUUUCCUCAUCCAUUUUGUCUUUCCCUCCCCCCUUCCUUCCUUUUUCAUUUUCUCUUCUCUGACUAUUUAUUUUACAUCUUUUUAUGCUAUACUGGCUGCAAAUAUAGACCAAGACUUAUCAUUGAUUUAACAAGUGAGGUACCAAUUUUUCCAGGAAUGUAGAGGUAAGGAAAAUAAAAGAACUAAAAGGAUGGGUAAAAUUAAUGAGAUCCAAAGAGAUUGUGUUUCACCCAAAGUUAACAUAACUAUUGUCAAAGGAGGACCUAGAUAGAACUCAGGCCUUCUAAUUCACCAUCAUUGGUCUUAAUAAUGACUAAAUUUGGGUUAAGGCAAAUGUUUUUUUGCUGUAAUAAAAUUCAUCUCUCUUUUCUUGAAAAAUAUUCAGAUAUUUCCGUGGCUAAGUUGUUAACUUGGAAAUCUUUAUAAGGCUGUUGUUAAGAUGAGUAAGAUUUACUUUAUGCUUUUCAAAGAGGAUAAUUCAUUAGAUAUGUGAUUUCAGAAUUCUGGUUGGAAAAUUAUAUUGCAAGUGAAUGGUUUUAGUAUUUCACAGUACUUAUUUGUAUGUGUAUAUAUAUAUGUGUGUGUGUUUAUAUAAGUAGAAAGUAGUUAUUUGAAUACCAGCCUUGGAAAAUAAUAAAAAAAUUAUAAUACCAGGCUUGGGUGACCAUCGAAGAUUUCAAGUAAAAAGACCGUAAGAAUUGGAUUUCAAUGAGUCUUCCAAAUAUUUCAUUUUAUUGAGAAUGACUUAUGAUUAUUUCCUAUUGUCAUAAAAAUCCUCUUAGGUCUGUGGCAUGCCUUGAAUUUUCCCAGAAGGGCCUACAUGGAAUGGUAGAAAAUUCUCUAAACCCUGAAGGCAGAUGGAUUUGGUUUUGAACUGAAGCUCCUCCACUGAAUAGUUUUGUUUUCUUGGGCAACUUUAUUAACCUCUCUGAACCCAGCUUGUCAUCUGAAUAUGGAAGGGUCAUCUGUUAAAAUGCUGACUUGUCUUUCUUCUGGCUGUUCUCCAUCCCAAGAAGGUAGGUGGAUGCCUGUACCUCUGGAUGUUAAUGGCUUACUGUGGAAGCUACAAGGUCCCCACAUGACAACUUCUCACCUAGACAUCUGGAAAAGUAAUGGAGGCUGGAACUUGGAGUUGAUGAGGCAGAGAAAGCCUACCCUGAGAAAUAUGAGAGAUUCAUUCCUAGAGGCAGGGAAGAUAAUGAUGUUUGGGGUAAGGCUAGUUCAUGGAUAUCAGGAGGACUAAGAGCUUUGGCCUGAAAAGUCACAGGGAAUAAACAUGUAGUCAUGGAUCAAAUGAGCCUUCUG
rnacentral:lncRNA from 1 species